rnacentral:rRNA from 1 species
GAUGAACGCUGGCGGCGUGCCUAAUACAUGCAAGUCGAGCGAACGGACGAGAAGCUUGCUUCUCUGAUGUUAGCGGCGGACGGGUGAGUAACACGUGGAUAACCUACCUAUAAGACUGGGAUAACUUCGGGAAACCGGAGCUAAUACCGGAUAAUAUUUUGAACCGCAUGGUUCAAAAGUGAAAGACGGUCUUGCUGUCACUUAUAGAUGGAUCCGCGCUGCAUUAGCUAGUUGGUAAGGUAACGGCUUACCAAGGCAACGAUGCAUAGCCGACCUGAGAGGGUGAUCGGCCACACUGGAACUGAGACACGGUCCAGACUCCUACGGGAGGCAGCAGUAGGGAAUCUUCCGCAAUGGGCGAAAGCCUGACGGAGCAACGCCGCGUGAGUGAUGAAGGUCUUCGGAUCGUAAAACUCUGUUAUUAGGGAAGAACAUAUGUGUAAGUAACUGUGCACAUCUUGACGGUACCUAAUCAGAAAGCCACGGCUAACUACGUGCCAGCAGCCGCGGUAAUACGUAGGUGGCAAGCGUUGUCCGGAAUUAUUGGGCGUAAAGCGCGCGUAGGCGGUUUUUUAAGUCUGAUGUGAAAGCCCACGGCUCAACCGUGGAGGGUCAUUGGAAACUGGAAAACUUGAGUGCAGAAGAGGAAAGUGGAAUUCCAUGUGUAGCGGUGAAAUGCGCAGAGAUAUGGAGGAACACCAGUGGCGAAGGCGACUUUCUGGUCCGUAACUGACGCUGAUGUGCGAAAGCGUGGGGAUCAAACAGGAUUAGAUACCCUGGUAGUCCACGCCGUAAACGAUGAGUGCUAAGUGUUAGGGGGUUUCCGCCCCUUAGUGCUGCAGCUAACGCAUUAAGCACUCCGCCUGGGGAGUACGACCGCAAGGUUGAAACUCAAAGGAAUUGACGGGGACCCGCACAAGCGGUGGAGCAUGUGGUUUAAUUCGAAGCAACGCGAAGAACCUUACCAAAUCUUGACAUCCUUUGACAACUCUAGAGAUAGAGCUUUCCCCUUCGGGGGACAAAGUGACAGGUGGUGCAUGGUUGUCGUCAGCUCGUGUCGUGAGAUGUUGGGUUAAGUCCCGCAACGAGCGCAACCCUUAAGCUUAGUUGCCAUCAUUAAGUUGGGCACUCUAAGUUGACUGCCGGUGACAAACCGGAGGAAGGUGGGGAUGACGUCAAAUCAUCAUGCCCCUUAUGAUUUGGGCUACACACGUGCUACAAUGGACAAUACAAAGGGCAGCGAAACCGCGAGGUCAAGCAAAUCCCAUAAAGUUGUUCUCAGUUCGGAUUGUAGUCUGCAACUCGACUACAUGAAGCUGAAAUCGCUAGUAAUCGUAGAUCAGCAUGCUACGGUGAAUACGUUCCCGGGUCU